AUUGAACGCUGGCGGCAGGCCUAACACAUGCAAGUCGAACGAGUGGCGGACGGGUGAGUAAUGUCUGGGAAACUGCCUGAUGGAGGGGGAUAACUACUGGAAACGGUAGCUAAUACCGCAUACCAUCAGAUGUACCCAGAUGGGAUUAGCUUGUUGGUGGGGUAAAGGCUCAACAGGGCGACUAGCCCUAGCUGUUCUGAGAGGUUGACCAGCCACACGGGAACUGAGACACGGCCCCUACUCCGACGGGAGGCAGCAGUGGUGAAUAUUGGACAAUGGGCGAAAGCCUGAUCCAGCCAUGCCGCGUGUGUGAAGAAGGUCUUCGGAUUGUAAAGUACUUUAAUUUGGGAGGCGUUACCAACAGAAUAAGCACCGGCUAACUUCGUGCCAGCAGCCGCGGUAAUUC
rnacentral:rRNA from 1 species